AGGAUUUUUAAAGUGUUUCAGAUUACGUUCACUGCGAUGUGUGUUUUGAAAUUAAAGUUUAAAUUUUCUAGUCUCCGAACCUCAUCACUUGGUUAGCCGCUGUUUGACAAAUUCAAAUCACCAAUCCGUAAGUUCAUCCACUUUGUUUCAAAUUUGAAACCCUGCCGUAGUGUGUAAAUUCGAGUCCUAGUAGGAGUCUAACUCUCAUUAGAAAAACCCUAUCAGAUAGCUUUUCUACCGUCUUUAUAAAUCCAUCUAGAAUAUCUGAUUCAAACACAAGAAAAAUACAAAGAAAACUCACUUGUUUUGGAGUUCUCUUCUCUGACCCGCAGCCAACCACUUCUUCUCGCAGUAACUCCACGCCACUCAGAGGCGCGGGACUCCCUUCCGGCGUCACAGACGGUGCCGACCAGCCCAGCCCUAGCUCAGCCACCUCUUUUCCGAGACCCUCCUGUCGCGUCGCCGGUCGCUCCCUGCAGCCCAGCGCCGCCGUCGCCCUCAGCCCCUCUCGGUCUCAAGUUACGAAGUAUUAUUCAAGAAGAAACGCAUCGAGAUCAUGGCCCCCGGUACUAGAAAUCACCCAACACGAGAGGGAUCUUCUGGUUCUAACCAGAAUGAUAACCCGGACCAUCUGGUCGCAGCUGCUACCCAAUUCUUUCAAUCUAUGGUUAGCGGCCAAUUUAUGGCGCCUAGAGCUCCACAAGCCGGUUGUACUUUGGAGCAAUUUUCUCGUCAGCAUCCUCCUACGUUUGAUGGCAGAUUGAAUUC